GUUGUUCUUGAUGAAAUCACUGUUUAUGCUUCCUACAUUAGGCCCAUCUUGGAAUACGCUUGCCAAGUAUGGCAUGGUGCUAUCACCAAUAAAAUGGCCAAUAGCAUUGAGACCAUCCAGAAAAGAGCAUGUCGCAUAAUGUAUGACAAUGCCCUAGAGGUUAGAGGUUUACCAUCACCCACGGCAAGGAGAUAAUCUCUUGUCUUUUCCUUUGUCAGGGGUUUACUUAAGUUUGACUGCUUUCGUGACAGGUUGCCUCCUUGCCGCGGGCAGAAAAGAACCCUUAGGUCUAAUACAACUAGUACUCUUGAUGUCCCUAGAUGUAGAACUGAAAGAUACAGAAGGUCUGCCAUACCUACUAUUGUUAAAUUGAGUAAUGCAAAUAAUUAAGCUUGUUUGUUGAAAAUCAACAGGAUGUGCUCAAAACGUGAAAGUAUUUUGAUCUGUCAUGAAGAAAACAAUACAAUAGAAACCAUAUUAAGCUCUCUUGCGGAUCACAGUAAUCGAUUUUUUUGUAUAGAAAACCUGUGGCAAUCACCUGACCGGUAACUGGGUCGAUUUCGAAUAGGCUGUUCGCAUCUGUAUUUAUUGAAGACAUUGCGAACUGUAGUUCAGAUGUUAA